GGGGGUAUAGCUCAGUGCUAGAGCACUUGUCUAGCAUGUGAGAGGCCCUGGGUUUAAUCCCCAGCACCACAA
rnacentral:tRNA from 1 species